CCUACGGGUGGCAGCAGUGAGGAAUAUUGGUCAAUGGCCGAGAGGCUGAACCAGCCAAGUCGCGUGAGGGAAGAAUGUCCUAUGGAUUGUAAACCUCUUUUGUCAGGGAGCAAAGUCACCCACGUGUGGGUGUUGGAGAGUACCUGAAGAAAAAGCAUCGGCUAACUCCGUGCCAGCAGCCGCGGUAAUACGGAGGAUGCGAGCGUUAUCCGGAUUUAUUGGGUUUAAAGGGAGCGUAGGCCGGCUUUUAAGUCAGCUGUGAAAGUCCGCGGCUCAACCGUGGAAUUGCAGUUGAAACUGGAGGCCUUGAGUGCACACAGGGAUGCCGGAAUUCAUGGUGUAGCGGUGAAAUGCUUAGAUAUCAUGAAGAACUCCGAUCGCGAAGGCAAGUGUCCGGGGUGCAACUGACGCUGAGGCUCGAAAGUGCGGGUAUCAAACAGGAUUAGAUACCCGUGUAGUC
rnacentral:rRNA from 1 species